rnacentral:rRNA from 1 species
GACGAACGCUGGCGGCGUGCUUAACACAUGCAAGUCGAACGGAAAGGCCCUGCUUUUGUGGGGUGCUCGAGUGGCGAACGGGUGAGUAACACGUGAGUAACCUGCCCUUGACUUUGGGAUAACUUCAGGUAACUGGGGCUAAUACCGGAUAGGAGCUCCUGCUGCAUGGUGGGGGUUGGAAAGUUUCGGCGGUGGGGGAUGGACUCGCGGCUUAUCAGCUUGUUGGUGGAGUAGUGGCUUACCAAGGCUUUGACGGGUAGCCGGCCUGGGAGGGUGACCGGCCACGUGGGGCCCAAGGUACGGACCAGUACCGUACGGGGGGCCGCAGUGGAGAGAAUAGCCCAAUAGGCGGACGCCUGAUCUCGCGGCGUCGCGUGCGGAAUGACGGGCUUCGGGUGCCAAACCGCUUUCGCCUGUGCCGCAGCGUGAGUGACGGUAAUGGGUAAGGAAGCACCGGCUAACUACGUG